UACGUAGGGUGCAAGCGUUGUCCGGAUUUAUUGGGCGUAAAGAGCUCGUAGGUGGCCUGCCGCGUCGGAUGUGAAAACCCGGGGCUCAACCCCGGGCCUGCAUUCGAUACGGGCAGGCUAGAGGAUGGCAGGGGAAACUGGAAUUCCUGGUGUAGCGGUGAAAUGCGCAGAUAUCAGGAGGAACACCGGUGGCGAAGGCGGGUUUCUGGGCCAUUCCUGACACUGAGGAGCGAAAGCGUGGGGAGCGAACAGG
rnacentral:rRNA from 1 species